GGGUGUGAGGGCGAUCUGGUUGUGACAUCUGCCACCCCAUUGAUCACCAGGGUUGAUUCGGCUGGUCCAGAUGGCUAGGCGGGUGUCCCCUUCCUCCCUCACCGCUCCGUGUACGUCCCUCCUGAAGUUAUGCGCUCAGUCGAAGAGGAUGACCUUCCCUGAUAGGGGAGGAUUUUAAUUUGAUCAAGGGUAUACAGGUAGCUGUGCUCCCCUGCUAGAACCUCCAAACACGGAGAAGCCAACAGAAUGUUCUGGUUAUGAAACACUCUGGCCUCUACCUAAAACAUCCUCAUGUCCAGAGUAAGUCUAU
rnacentral:snRNA from 1 species